rnacentral:lncRNA from 1 species
ACAUUCAUUUAGUCUGGAAGGUGUAAUAUAGUACGGACAAUAAUUGUGCAAAUAACAUAUAGCAUUUCUAUUACAUAUAGCAUUUCAAAAUAUCAUCUAUUCACGCCAAAUCGCACAAAUUGAACCGAAAAAAUUCUAAUUAACCUCAAAAUAUUGCUAAUUCUCGCCAAAUCACUCAAAUCUAUAUAAAAAAAUUAUUAUAUUUGAAAAAAAAAAUACUCACCGAU